rnacentral:rRNA from 1 species
GACGAACGCUGGCGGCGUGCUUAACACAUGCAAGUCGAACGGAAAGGCCCUGCUUUUGUGGGGUGCUCGAGUGGCGAACGGGUGAGUAACACGUGAGUAACCUGCCCUUGACUUUGGGAUAACUUCAGGAAACUGGGGCUAAUACCGGAUAGGAGCUCCUGCUGCAUGGGGGGGGUUGGAAAGUUUCGGCGGUUGGGGAUGGACUCGCGGCUUAUCAGCUUGUUGGUGGGGUAGUGGCUUACCAAGGCUUUGACGGGUAGCCGGCCUGAGAGGGUGACCGGCCACAUUGGGACUGAGAUACGGCCCAGACUGCUACGGGAGGCAGCAGUGGGGAAUAUUGCACAAUGGGCGGAAGCCUGAUGCAGCAACGCCGCGUGCGGGAUGACGGCCUUCGGGUUGUAAACCGCUUUCGCCUGUGACGAAGCGUGAGUGACGGUAAUGGGUAAAGAAGCACCGGCUAACUACGUG